CGGUAAAUCCCAAGGGAGAUUUUUCUCCCUUUGAACAAUUUACUUAGCCUAGAAGGAACCCCCUUUCUUCUCCUAUAAGCAACAUAUUUUGCUUGUCAUCUAAGCAACCUUUGCUUCUCUUGUAAGCAACCCCUUGCUUCUCUUGUAAGCAACCCCUUGCUUCACUUCUAAGCAAUCAAACCAGCCCCUUUUCUUCUCCUUUAAAUCCCCCAUGCCCCCUCUCCAACCAGCCAUUUCCUCUCCCUCCCUCUCCCCACGCCACUCUCCCUACUCCCUCCCUCUCUCUCUAUCUCCCUCUCUCUAGCUCCCCAUGCAGCAGCAGCCCCUCCUCCCUUGGAGCUGGCGACCAGCCCUCCCAAGCUCCACUCUCACCUUGGCAAGCUCUCCCAUGGCGUCUCCCCCUCCUCUACGGCAGUAAGAUGUAGGACCGAGAGAUGAUGAUCGAGCCAGUGAUGUGGUGCCAACCACAAGACGCAGUUGGUGGACGACCUGAAGAAUGGACUUAACCAGUGGAUACUCGCCGAGCGAGUACCCUCCCCAGCAAACACUACUUAAUUGUUAAAUUAAAGGCAAGCCCCGGUUUAUGCAUAACCGUUAUAUAUGCUAUUUUACUGCACUUAAUGUUUGUAGGCUUGUACCGUGCACUUAAGUGUAGGAGUUGAAUGAAACCCUAGUUGCAUGAACUCAGGAUUCCCUUUGAGAUGGAUACUAGUAUGCUAGGUCGAGUAGCUGCUUUAUUAAUUAGGAUCUCGGUAGAAGACGAGUGAUUUUUCUAGCACUCGCGCGAGAUCAGGAAAUUGAUUGUACCCACUUUCACAUUGUCAUGAUACUAGUUGGUGGACAACAAUCCAUGGGGAUUGGUUGUUUACAAGGUAAAAAUGGGAAUAAGGAUUAAGGUGUGGUACCGUGUGUCAAGCGUUUGAACGUACUAAACACAUACCGAGAAAUAUGGUAAAUCGGUAAGCCUAGUACCUGAUUGAACCUGGCAGUAGACUUUGCCCCUCACGCGACUUGAGACGAGGUCUCCCAUUCCGGUUAUGGUGGGUACAAGUGCGGUCACUGCACGACGGCCAGUCGGGGUCAGUGAGGCAUUGUACGCCAAGGCGGUGAGCCCUGUUCUGCUGACGGGGAAUUGAUGGGGAAGGUUGAUGUGUGUGGGGACGGAGUGCCCCUGCAUGUCGUGUGUUUAGGUUUACCUUGCAAGGUUUAAAAACUCGAUUCGAAUCGUCUGCUUCUCGCAGCUAAUGAGACUGCUUGAUCCAUGCUGCUACAUUGAGUAAUAAGUGGAAAUGAGGUGACUGGCAAAAGAUGUUGAUUGCAAUAAUGUUUGAUAUCAUGUAUGAAUAGCUAGGUAUUCAUCUAGUCUAAAAGAUUACACUAAAACUUGAAAAGCUAAAAUUUGUUUUUAGACUCAGCUAGUGCUUUUGACAAACCAAACCCCUCAGCCAAACAGCUGCAUGUCUAGAGGUAGAGGAGUAGACUCCUCACACCGGGUAAGUCUAGCUGAGUAUUAGUAUACUCAGCCUUGCUUGUGGCACAAUUUUUGCAGGUACUCCUUAGGAUGAUUGGUUGAUGGUGUGACUUAGCCUCCAUCCCUGCCACCGGGAUAGAUGGUCGAGUGGGUUACUGCUUCCGCAGGAGAGGACCAGGAGGAGUAGCGUGGCCAGGCUUCGCCAUGUUACUCGGGUUUUCUCCGUUAGUUAUUUCCGCUGCAUUAAAAUUUAUGGUUAUUAUUUCUGAAACUCCGAUAAUGUAAUCCCUAAUGGUACUUCUUAAAUUUGUGGUAUUAUGCUUUAUUGUAUUUCUCUGUGCCUCACCUUCGAGUGAGCUAAUGGUAUUCGAUCCUGGUUAAGUGGCUUUAUCGGACUAGAUCCGAGGGACUGAUGGUUUAUUCCUAUUUAAGUGUGGUCUAGCCUCUAAGGCGGGACUUAGGCACUUAAGUUGGAAUAAUUCGGGCGGUUCCGCCACAGCUGGUAUCGGAGCGAAUACCAUUACAGAGAAGUCAAUAAGUCAUAAAUACCAACUUUUUAAAAGUAAAACUUGCUUAGAAACCAAGUUGGAUAGUUGUCAGGACGAUAAGGAUAGACCUAGGACGUGAAACCUUAGGAAAUAGAUGGGUAGCUAGGUGGCUAUGUGUAUAGGCCAUAGAGGCUACUACUACUAUUAAUAAGGAUGCUGUAGAAGCACCCGAAAAUUAGUCAGGUCUGAGAAGACGACUAGAAUGAGCAUGCAUCCUGAUUGUCGCAUCAUUGUCUCUUGUGCAUCAACACGCUUCUCUUACCUUUAUUCCAAUAAUAAAAACUUGUGAAUAAUGUGAUGUACUGCUAUGUUAGAAAUGCCUUAUCUCGUGUCAAAUGGUUAUGUCUUGUUAUGUUGUGAUAUGUGUUUCUCUUGUCUGGCUAUCUAGGUGGUAGGGUAAUUGUUCAACCCUUGUUGCAAAAAAAAAAGUGUUGUUUGUUCUGCUCAUGAAAAAGACCCCCCGUCCAAACAACCUUGAGUUUAGCAAGUGAAACCUCUUUAAAAUAAAAUUCUGCUGGUGUUGGUAUUUUCUAGCCCUUGAGUGUUUUACCCUUGAAAUUAAACCUGCACAACCUAUAGAUGCCCAUAGCUUGACCGCUAGACUACCCCAGUCUCCUUGUGCACUUGUUGCGUCAAAAAAAAAUCGUUGGUGUCUAGUUGCGCAAACCCUAUCAAGGUCAUGUUUCUUUCCAUAGAUCAUGUCCCAAAUCUUCAUAACCUUUCUAAUGCCCAUCCUAAUCAAUCUCAUCUGACUACCUCUCCUUUCACCUGGAUCUGGUAAUCUUUUCCUUGUGAAUCAUGUUGUGACCUUAUCAUCCAAAUCUCCGGAUCCCCUAUUGAUCCUACCCUAUUAUCUGGAUAUCUGCUCUAACUCGUUCUCAAGUAUCAGAUGUUGAUAUACCAAAAUCUCUCAAUUCUGGUCAUUCUCAUACUCAUUCUUCGAGGAUCAUGACACUGUUUUAUCAAUUUUUAUCUACCAACAGUGUACCCAUUCGGUUCAAUGGAUUUUGCUUUUGUCUUUAGUUCUCUCAUGUCUCAGCAAGUUGUCCAUCUCGAUCUCAUGGUUGGUUCCUCUUCAUAUUGAAUAUCGUAUCAAUCUUUGGCUGAUAAUCCCUGUGAUGAUCAAAAAAAUAGUUCUCUGAGUUGAAGAAAAUUCUCAUGUGAGGCUCUUUUGCCAACAAUCUUUGCCCCAACUUCAGUCACAUUUUCUAAGCCAUAUUCUCAUGGGUUGCAUCUAAUUUAAGCCACAUGAAUUUUUUCAUUGGUUAUGUUUGGUAAGGGUGUCAUGACUAACGACUGAUGGUGCUGCGACGAAACCGAGAGCCUACUAUGGUGCACACAUGGUUGAGCUGCUCGGCACGCACUGGUAUCACGGUUAAUAGUUGUGGUCCAUUAUAAGACUACACUGAUGUGCUAUCUUUUGUGGACACUCUCAGAAUGAUCGCUGCAUUUUGUCUCGAUAUGUCGCGAUAUUCUAACCAAAUCUGUCUUCAGUAUCUUGUCAGAUACCCUCUCAUGAAUUUGCAUCUAUCUUCAGUCUGGGAGUUACAUGCUUCUCCACCCUUAAAUAUCCUUAUUCGAAUCUCGGGACGAGAUUCUUUUUAAGGGGGGAAGGCUGUGACACCCCAGGUGUCUAUUUCGCGUUAUAUCGGGAGAUUUAUCCUAAUCUCGGAUGCUCAGUGAAAAUUUCUAUUUCUCGCUCGCGUAUGUCUCUGAUUAUCUAGCUUAUUCAUUCGCGUUUCACCAAAUUCGGAGUUAUUCAGUCUCACAGAAGGCCGAAUUUGGAGCCUGUUAAAACUUUUAAUUCUUGGCACGAAUACGAACUCGAUAAUCCAUCUCAAAUUAUAAAUCUCAUAUGAAGCUCAUUUAAUCAAGCGCUCGACAGUUGCUAGUCGAGCUGUGUCAGAGUCCGAUUCCCCGAACCUCGAUCGAUGUCCGACUAUUUUAUUCGGAUCCGUACUCGCAAAUGGAAUACUCGAUAUGUCGUCCUCUAAUCAAUUUUAUCCGACUCGGCCAAAUAUCUCUAUGUCCGAAUCGAACUCAAAAACCCGCAUCGACAGUGCUUUUUAAAAUGUCAUGAUUCGCCUUCUCCGACUAAAAAUCCAAAGCCGAUCAAAAGUUUGAGAGAAACAUUGUUUCUAAAAUAGUGCGCGAGAAAAUUUCAAAGUGGAAUCUCCAAUGCGUUGUCCUCAAAUAAAUUCUUAUUCGACUUGGCUUAAUCCCUCUCGGUCCGAUCUGAUUUCAAAAAUCAACAUCGGCGAUGAUUUUUAAAUGUCGCGAUUUGUCUCUAUUAAUCAUAGAUCCGAAAGCUAGUCAGUCUCAAUUCAUUUUGAUUUCCUAAUCGUACGUGGACAAAUUUUCCGAGCGACACUGAAAAAUUAAAUUCUUGGACUAACUAUUUUUUUCUCAUUCCUCGGACUCUCGUUCGCCAGACGCCGGUUCUCCCUGUUCUCCACACCGGCAAAUCCCAAGGGAGAUUUUUCUCCCUUUGAACAAUUUACUUAGCCUAGAAGGAACCUCCUUUCUUCUCCUAUAAGCAACAUAUUUUGCUUGUCAUCUAAGCAACCUUUGCUUCUCUUGUAAGCAACCCCUUGCUUCUCUUGUAAGCAACCCCUUGCUUCACUUCUAAGCAAUCAAACCAGCCCCUUUUCUUCUCCUUUAAAUCCCCCAUGCCCCCUCUCCAACCAGCCAUUUCCUCUCCCUCCCUCUCCCCACGCCACUCUCCCUACUCCCUCCCUCUCUCUCUAUCUCCCUCUCUCUAGCUCCCCAUGCAGCAGCAGCCCCUCCUCCCUUGGAGCUGGCGACCAGCCCUCCCAAGCUCCACUCUCACCUUGGCAAGCUCUCCCAUGGCGUCUCCCCCUCCUCUACGGCAGUAAGAUGUAGGACCGAGAGAUGAUGAUCGAGCCAGUGAUGUGGUGCCAACCACAAGACGCAGUUGGUGGACGACCUGAAGAAUGGACUUAACCAGUGGAUACUCGCCGAGCGAGUACCCUCCCCAGCAAACACUACUUAAGUGUUAAAUUAAAGGCAAGCCCCGGUUUAUGCAUAACCGUUAUAUAUGCUAUUUUACUGCACUUAAUGUUUGUAGGCUUGUACCGUGCACUUAAGUGUAGGAGUUGAAUGAAACCCUAGUUGCAUGAACUCAGGAUUCCCUUUGAGAUGGAUACUAGUAUGCUAGGUCGAGUAGCUGCUUUAUUAAUUAGGAUCUCGGUAGAAGACGAGUGAUUUUUCUAGCACUCGCGCGAGAUCAGGAAAUUGAUUGUACCCACUUUCACAUUGUCAUGAUACUAGUUGGUGGACAACAAUCCAUGGGGAUUGGUUGUUUACAAGGUAAAAAUGGGAAUAAGGAUUAAGGUGUGGUACCGUGUGUCAAGCGUUUGAACGUACUAAACACAUACCGAGAAAUAUGGUAAAUCGGUAAGCCUAGUACCUGAUUGAACCUGGCAGUAGACUUUGCCCCUCACGCGACCUGAGACGAGGUCUCCCAUUCCGGUUAUGGUGGGUACAAGUGCGGUCACUGCACGACGGCCAGUCGGGGUCAGUGAGGCAUUGUACGCCAAGGCGGUGAGCCCUGUUCUGCUGACGGGGAAUUGAUGGGGAAGGUUGAUUUGUGUGGGGACGGAGUGCCCCUGCAUGUCGUGUGUUUAGGUUUACCUUGCAAGGUUUAAAAACUCGAUUCGAAUCGUCUGCUUCUCGCAGCUAAUGAGACUGCUUGAUCCAUGCUGCUACAUUGAGUAAUAAGUGGAAAUGAGGUGACUGGCAAAAGAUGUUGAUUGCAAUAAUGUUUGAUAUCAUGUAUGAAUAGCUAGGUAUUCAUCUAGUCUAAAAGAUUACACUAAAACUUGAAAAGCUAAAAUUUGUUUUUAGACUCAGCUAGUGCUUUUGACAAACCAAACCCCUCAGCCAAACAGCUGCAUGUCUAGAGGUAGAGGAGUAGACUCCUCACACCGGGUAAGUCUAGCUGAGUAUUAGUAUACUCAGCCUUGCUUGUGGCACAAUUUUUGCAGGUACUCCUUAGGAUGAUUGGUUGAUGGUGUGACUUAGCCUCCAUCCCUGCCACCGGGAUAGAUGGUCGAGUGGGUUACUGCUUCCGCAGGAGAGGACCAGGAGGAGUAGCGUGGCCAGGCUUCGCCAUGUUACUCGGGUUUUCUCCGUUAGUUAUUUCCGCUGCAUUAAAAUUUAUGGUUAUUAUUUCUGAAACUCCGAUAAUGUAAUCCCUAAUGGUACUUCUUAAAUUUGUGGUAUUAUGCUUUA